AUGCUAGCUAGAGCUUCUCUUCAUUCAAAUGGUGUGGAUAUGCAUACCGCUGAGUAUGCUGAUUAUAAAAAGGCUGAAGUCACAUCUCAUCAUGCUCGAGACAUAGUGCAUAUUAACGCAGGCGGCACAAGGCUUCAGAUUUACUACACUUUACGACACUUUGGCACAGUCAAAGUCGUCAUAUUUCCUCAACUUUAUCCGCAUCGACCGCACCAGUGGAAAAAUUGUGCUUCUUCAACAGAGAACUAUUCGUGAUGAGUCAGGAGCAAUCUUCGUGAACCGGGACGGGCGUCUGUUUGCAUUCGUUCUGCAAUUUAUGAGAGACGGAAAGAACACUGUCCUGCCAAAAGAUAAAGACGUGUUAGCACAGCUCAAACGAGAAGCAGACUUCUUUGGCAUGGAGGUAUUCAAGUACCUAAUUCAAGAGACACUUGUUGACAUUGAAAAGGAACAACGUGCCAACACCAAUGAUAUUGUGGAUAUUCGCAAUUCGGUGAACCAAAUUGCGAACAACACGUACUACAAUAAUGGAGGACGCAUUUGA
rnacentral:misc_RNA from 1 species